UACGGAGGGUGCAAGCGUUGCUCGGAAUUAUUGGGCGUAAAGGGUAGGUAGGUGGUCUUAUUUGUCUGGGGUGAAAUCCUUGAGCUUAACUCAAGAAGUGCCCUAGAAACGGUAAGACUAGAGUCUUGGAGAGGGUCGUGGAAUUCCCGGUGUAGCGGUGAAAUGCGCAGAUAUCAGGAAGAACACCCGUGGCGAAGGCGGCGUCUCUGGGGACGGUACUGACGCUGAGACGCGAAAGCGUGGGGAGGCGAAC
rnacentral:rRNA from 1 species